rnacentral:rRNA from 1 species
GACGAACGCUGGCGGCGUGCUUAACACAUGCAAGUCGAACGGAAAGACCCUGCUUUUGUGGGGUGCUCGAGUGGCGAACGGGUGAGUAACACGUGAGUAACCUGCCCUUGACUUUGGGAUAACUUCAGGAAACUGGGGCUAAUACCGGAUAGGAGCUCCUGCUGCAUGGUGGGGGUUGGAAAGUUUCGGCGGUUGGGGAUGGACUCGCGGCUUAUCAGCUUGUUGGUGGGGUAGUGGCUUACCAAGGCUUUGACGGGUAGCCGGCCUGAGAGGGUGACCGGCCACAUUGGGACUGAGAUACGGCCCAGACUCCUACGGGAGGCAGCAGUGGGGAAUAUUGCACAAUGGGCGGAAGCCUGAUGCGGCAACGCCGCGUGCGGGAUGACGGCCUUCGGGUUGUAAACCGCUUUCGCCUGUGACGAAGCGUGAGUGACGGUAAUGGGUAAAGAAGCACCGGCUAACUACGUG